rnacentral:rRNA from 1 species
AGAUACCAGCUGGCUGCAACUGUUUAUUAAAAACACAGCACUGUGCAAACACGAAAGUGGACGUAUACGGUGUGACGCCUGCCCGGUGCCGGAAGGUUAAUUGAUGGGGUUAUCCCUCGGGAGAAGCUCUUGAUCGAAGCCCCGGUAAACGGCGGCCGUAACUAUAACGGUCCUAAGGUAGCGAAAUUCCUUGUCGGGUAAGUUCCGACCUGCACGAAUGGCGUAAUGAUGGCCAGGCUGUCUCCACCCGAGACUCAGUGAAAUUGAACUCGCUGUGAAGAUGCAGUGUACCCGCGGCAAGACGGAAAGACCCCGUGAACCUUUACUAUAGCUUGACACUGAACACUGGUCCUUGAUGUGUAGGAUAGGUGGGAGGCUUUGAAGUGCGGACGCCAGUCUGCAUGGAGCCGCCCUUGAAAUACCACCCUUUAAUGGCUGGUGUUCUAACGUGGGCCCGUAAUCCGGGUUGCGGACAGUGUCUGGUGGGUAGUUUGACUGGGGCGGUCUCCUCCUAAAGAGUAACGGAGGAGCACGAAGGUCAGCUAAUCCUGGUCGGACAUCAGGAGGUUAGUGCAAUGGCAUAAGCUGGCUUGACUGCGAGCGUGACGGCGCGAGCAGGUGCGAAAGCAGGUCAUAGUGAUCCGGUGGUUCUGAAUGGAAGGGCCAUCGCUCAACGGAUAAAAGGUACUCCGGGGAUAACAGGCUGAUACCGCCCAAGAGUUCAUAUCGACGGCGGUGUUUGGCACCUCGAUGUCGGCUCAUCACAUCCUGGGGCUGAAGUAGGUCCCAAGGGUAUGGCUGUUCGCCAUUUAAAGUGGUACGCGAGCUGGGUUUAGAACGUCGUGAGACAGUUCGGUCCCUAUCUGCCGUGGGCGCUGGAGAACUGAGGGGGGCUGCUCCUAGUACGAGAGGACCGGAGUGGACGCAUCACUGGUGUUCGGGUUGUCAUGCCAAUGGCACUGCCCGGUAGCUAAAUGCGGAAGAGAUAAGUGCUGAAAGCAUCUAAGCACGAAACUUGCCCCGAGAUGAGUUCUCCCUGACUCCUUGAGAGUCCUGAAGGAACGUUGAAGACGACGACGUUGAUAGGCCGGGUGUGUAAGCGCAGCGAUGCGUUGAGCUAACCGGUACUAAUGAACCGUGAGGCUUAACCUU